GUGGCUGCAGAGAGCAGAGUUGACAAACAGUGAGUCAGGUGGCCCGGGGCGUGGGUGCUCCGCCCUCAGGUGCACUGCGUCCUGGCGGCAGUGCGGGCCUGCGAGGCUACCCAAAGCCCUGGGGGCUUUUUCCUACAAAUGCUGGGGACCGUGCGAUAGCUGGGGCGUAGCUGCUUCCACUGUCCUACCAAAUCCUGAAUAUCGUCCACCUCCUUUGCAUGCCAUUCACCGCCAACCAAAAUCCAGCGCCAAUUUACCCCUCCAGCUGCAUCCCCGACCGUUUCACCACCAUACUUAAAACCCUUUGGACUCCCACUGACCUACAGUGGCUCCAGGGUUAAGCCCAGAAGUUCUGGAAUCAGACCUGGAGCUUGCAUUCUUUACCAGCUGUGUGGAUUUGGACAAAUUAAUUAACCUCUCUGAGUCUGUGAUCACUCAGUUUCAUCUGCAAACCAGGGUUCCCCUGUCAACAUCUCAUUGAAGUCAU
rnacentral:lncRNA from 10 species